GGGGGAAACCCUGAUGACAGACAACGACCGCGUGAACGAUGGAAGGCCUUUGGGGCGUAAAGUUCUGUUCUAGGUGAUGAAAACUGACAGUAACCUAGGAGAAAGCCCCGGCUAACUCCGUGCCAGCAGCCGCGGUAAUACGGAGGGGGCAAGCGUUAUCCGGAAUUAUUGGGCGUAAAGGGUACGUAGGUGGCCUUUUAAGCGUAGGGUAUAAGGCAAUGGGCUCAACCAUUGUUUCGCCCUAUGAACUGGAAGGCCUUGAAUUGCAGGAGAGGAAAGCGGAAUUCCUAGUGUAGCGGUGGAAUGCAUAGAUAUUAGGAGGAACAUCAGUGGCGAAGGCGGCUUUCUGGACUGCAACUGACACUGAGGUACGAAAGCGUGGGGAGCAAACAGGAUUAGAUACCCUGGUAGUCCACGCCGUAAACGAUGAGCACUAGGUGUCGGGGUCGUAAGGCUUCGGUGCCGUAGUUAACGCAUUAAGUGCUCCGCCUGGGGGAGUACGCACGCCAAGUGUGAAACUCAAGGGA
rnacentral:rRNA from 1 species